rnacentral:rRNA from 1 species
AUUGAACGCUGGCGGCAGGCCUAACACAUGCAAGUCGAACGAGUGGCGGACGGGUGAGUAAUGCCUGGGAAACUGCCUGAUGGAGGGGGAUAACUACUGGAAACGGUAGCUAAUACCGCAUACCAUCGGAUGUGCCCAGAUGGGAUUAGCUAGUAGGUGGGGUAAAGGCUCACCUAGGCGACGAUCCCUAGCUGGUCUGAGAGGAUGACCGGCCACACUGGAACGGAGACACGGUCCAGACUCCUGCGGGAGGCAGCAGUGGGGAAAAUUGCACUAUGGGCGCAAGCCUGAAGCGGCCAUGCCGCGUGUAUGAAGAAGGCCUUCGGGUUGUAAGGUACUUUCAGCGGGGAGGCGUUACCCGCAGAAGAAGCACCGGCUAACUCCGUGCCAGCAGCCGCGGUAAUAC